rnacentral:rRNA from 1 species
GACGAACGCUGGCGGCGUGCCUAAUACAUGCAAGUCGAACGCAGUGGGGACGGGUGAGUAACACGUGGGUAACCUCCCAUCAGAGGGGAUAACACUUGGCAACAGGUGCUAAACCGAUACUGAUGGAUGGACCCGCGGUGCAUGAGUGAGUUGGUGAGGUAACGGCUCACCAAGGCCACGAUGCAUAGACGAGCUGAGAGGGUGAUCAGCCACACGUGGACUGAGAAACGGUCCAGACUCCUACGUGAGGCAGCAGGAGGGAAUAUUAGGCAAUGGACGAAAGUCUGACCGAGCAACGCCGCGGGAGUGAAGAAGGUUUUCGGAUCGGAAAGCUCUGUUGUUAGAGAAGCGGUAUCUAACCAGAAAGCCACGGCUAACUACGUGCCAGCAGCCGCGGUAAUUC